UGAUUAUUUUCAAUCGUUAGAUUAUACUAUUCAACCAACCAACCACCCACUCAACCCUAGGAGGCUCACAUCAUCCUAACCGCACAUCCCUUAAUCCAAUGGCCAAAAAUCUACAAGAACCAAUAACUUGGUACUUUUAAAAGCAUAGGAGCUCAAUUCUCUCUCUCUCUCUCUCUCUCUCUCUCUCUCUCUCUAUAUAUAUAUAUAUAUAUAGUUGAGCUAGAAUACUAUCGGUAGCAAACGGGCUAUGUUACCAUCCAUUUGUUUUCAAUGAUCGAGACUCCAAAUUGAUGAUCGACACCAUUGAAUAUGACGCAUACCGCUUGAAGCAUCUAGAAAUCAAAUUUCAUACUUUUUCAAUAUCGUUCUCUUGUCCAUCAAGUGGACACAACAAUGAACUGGUAAAAAUGAAUAUCCUUUAAAAGUGAUGAUAGGAGUUUUGUAAUCAAGAUUAAGAGUCUAGAUCUUGUUUUAAAUAGUUUAAGAAAAUUUUUAAUCAAAAUUCAAUUGAUUUAGAUAUCUUUACACCGUUAAACGAGAAACGUCUCAUAUCGACCGUUAAAAUUAUAAAUUUUGAAACUCUUUAAUCAUUAAGCCAAUGAUGUCGAAAAGACUUGAAAUUUGGUUUCUAGAUACUUCAAGUGGUAUGGAUCAUGUUCAACGGUGCCAAUCGUCGAUUUGGAAGCUCCAUCAUCGAAAACAAAUGGGUGACAACGAAGUCUGUUUGGUACCUUCUAGUUCACCUAUAUAUUAUAGGCUAGGGCUACUAUACUCUUAUGAGUAUAAAGCCCUUCGUAUUCAUAAGUUGUUUUCGAUGAUGAGGCUUCCGAAUCGACGAUCCACUCCGUUAAAUAUGAUCUAAAAUAUUUGAAACUUCUAAAAAAUAAAUUUCGUAAUUUUUCGAAAUCAUAAUAAAAAGUCUAUCAAGCGGGCAUAAAAUGAACGGCCAAAAUCGAACGACGUCCUAAAAAUAGAUGAUCGGAUCCUUCAAUUUAAGAUCGGAGUUAUUGAUUUUUAUCUAGGUAGUGAAUAGAAUUUUUCAAUCAAACAUUCAAUCUAUUCCGAUUCUUUUUUACCAUUAAACUAGCAAGUAUCCCAUAGCGGCCGUUAAAAAUUGUCAAUUUUGUGAGUUUUUGAUCGUAAGGUAAAUGAUAUCGAAAAAUUAUGAAAUUUGAUUUCUAGAAGUUUUAAAUGUUCUAGAUUAUGUUUAACGGUAUGGAUCGUCGAUUUGGAAGCUCUAUCAUCGAAAAUGACUUAUGAGUACGAGAGCGAUCGUACUCAUAAGAGUAUAGCAGUCGGACUCUAAUAUAUAUAUAUAUAUAUAUAUAGAGAGAGAGAGAGAGAGAGAGAGAGAUAAGCACAAUGAAAAAGAAAAAGAAAGGAAAAAAAAAAAACCUUGGUAAAAAAGGAUGGAAAUAACUGCUUUUGUUGCAAAUAUUGCGCGGUCACAUUGUUGCCUUGUUGAUUCUUUGCAUAUCUUAUUCUCUGAGCUUUUCAGGUUUAUGCUAUAUAGAUUGAAUAUCCCUUCCGGCGGACAGAGAUUGAAGCAGUAAUCUGAGUCUACAUUCCUGCUAUAUUUUUCAGUUUACUAUGUUUUUUUUUCUUUUUUCUUUUUUCUUUUUUUUUUUUCAUGUUUGGACCAUUUCAAUGCUUCUAUAAUGCAGCUCGUAGCGACGGAUAAAGCAAAAUUUGAUUGAUCUAUAUAUUAUAUGCAGGCGCGGAAUAUGCAGGAAAGGGGAUGGAAGCCUCGCUGGUUUGCAAAAGAUAAAGGAAGCGACACAUACCGCUACAUUGGCGGUUACUGGGAAGAUCGGGAAAAGGGCCAGUGGGACGGUUGCCCUGACAUAUUCGGCCAAAUUCCCACUGAUCCCUUGUUAACUGACUAGUGGUGGUUUGCAAACUUAGAUCAUCAUGUCUCUAGGUCUUUUCUUUUCUGUCCUUUUUUUUUAUUAGGAUUAUCUAGCUUUACUUGUUUUCUCUCUUUCUCUGAUGCUCGCCAUUUUCGAGCAACCAAAGUGCCUUCUAUGCUUGUAAACAAAGAAGAUAGUAUUUCUCAAAUGUUAUUAUUCUCUUAUACAAAAUAAUAGAAAGAGUUCUCAUUCCAAACGCAGCAUAAUCUACCUAUUCUAUCUUUAUUAUCUAUACAAUAACAUUAAAGGGCGAGCCAUUAACCGUUUUGUGCCUUCUCCUUGAUUUCGGAUGUGGCCCCCCAUCGACUAUUUUCCCCCCUCUCACCCAUCUGACGCGUGGGCCCCGUCUUCUUGAUUUCGGAUGUGACCCCUCGGUACUCUCUCUUCUUCCUGGCGCCUCGGCUCCCCUGUACUUUUCCUGCUGUGCUCUCCUGAUUCUUAUAUUCCCUGUAGGUUCCAUUUAAUUAAAGAGCGAACCCUUAACCAUUUUGGAUGUGGGACCCCCAUCGACCAUUUUUUCUCUCUCUCACCCCUCUGAGGCGUGGGUCCUCUCAGGUGGUGUUUCCUCUCCCUUCUUCUUGGCGGCUUGGCUUCCCCUACUUUUCCUACUGUGCUACUCCGAGGCUUCUCUUCUCUCGCUAUGUUUCUCCUUCUGCUUACUCCUAUGUUUCUCGUACGGUUUGUGCCCUCUUCGGCGCAUUAAUGGCGCCGCUCAGCUGCAGCUUGCCGGGAGAAUGCUCUUUUUUUUUCACCGUACGUCUGUAUUUACCGCAGAUCUGGGCAUUUAAUGCCGUUAUCAAACAGCCGGUUCCUCGGAAAUUGAUCCGUUUUGUGCCGUACGCCCAUAUCUACCUCAGAUCUGGGCAUUUAAUGUUCGCUGCAGGGCCGUCGCUUCCCGGAGAUAGGUGACCCUCGGCGUCGUAUAGCCUCCCAUCACGGCGCGGCGUAGCUGUCGCAACAGCACACUGCGCCGCUCGGCCGCGACGCCCUGCCUCCCCUCUCCUCUCUCUUCUUUUGCUUCGUUUCACACUGGUUUAUAUAUGUGCUCCCUUGGUUGAUAAGUCCCUUGCCUACUUUCUUCCGAACUUGCAAACUAGUUUGCUAUCUUUGUUGUUCUUCUUCGGCUACUUCCUUUUCUCUUCUCAUGUUGUCUGGUAUUUGGAUUUUUAUGUUGCUUGGAUGGUUGGAUGCCUAAUGGUUCCUGUGUUUUUAUGGUUCGUCUGAAAGUUUUUUCUAGGUUUUAAAAUUUUUUUGUGUUCUCUCAGUUUUUCUUAUUCUCUUCUAUUUUUUUGCAGCUUCUUUUCUUCUUUCGGGCUUUUUUUGCAAAUAGCCCCCUUACAAUUUUUUUUUUUAAAUAGUCCUGUCCAAAAUUUAUUUGCAAAAAUGGCCCUGACCCUGCCACGCAAGCGCCAAGUCAGCGCCACGUGGGCGGGGCUGGGGCCAGGUGUUUAAGUUGAACACGGUGAACCAUUCACCGUGUCACCGUGUUCAAAUACGGUGAAUGGUUCACCGUGUCCAAUGUAUUAUACACACCCAGGUUUGGGUGGCUAUAAUACAUAGGACACGGUGAAUGGUUCACCGUAUAAGAUAUGGAUCCCGAGGAUCUAAAAAGUAAUUAACACCUAGAGGGGGGUGAAUAGGUGUAAAAACGGCAAACUCAAAAAUCUCGAUGCAAAUAAAACGAAAUAGCGGAAAAGAAAACAGCACACCGAGAAUUUAACGUGGGAAAACUCCAAAUCGGAGUGAAAAAUCCACGGGACCAAUCACGCAAAGAAAAUCCACUAAGAAAAUAUGAGUACUAGUGAUUUUGACCAAAACACACGACUCAAUUUACCAACUUCCCGUAGAUGAUGAUCUUCGCCGGUCCUCGAUCGAUAAGAAUCCUCCAAUCGAUCUCACUGCAACUCCUUGCAGCGUCAACGCCUCAACUCCUUGAAGCGUCCACCGAAUCCUCGGCUACACGUGAACUCCACACGUCGAAUCUCCUUCCGGAGCUUGUAGAAUUGAAGAUUUGUGGUGAUUAAGCUUUAGAAUCCCAUAAGCUAUGAGGAUCUACCUUUAAUCAAACAUCUACUUGAUUCUCGUAUGAUUUCUUGAGUAAAAACAAAGAAUCAAGUCGAUUGUUGAUUGUUAGAAACUUGUUAUUAGAAUCAAACCAUAAGAACAAGAAUAACUAGUUUCUAGGGUUUAGAAUCAGUAAAAAUUCAAAGCCUUACCUCUUUAGAUGACCCUCAUAGCUUAUUUAUAUGUUUAGAAGACUUAGAAAUAGACUAGAAUUGUAAAAAGUCCUUUUUAAAAACCUGUGUCGUCCCCAGAGACCGGACUUCUCGAGGAGACCGGUCUGUGAGAGACCGGUCUCUCAAGUGAGGAACCGGUCCCUCGCUGCGUGACCAAAAUCACAACGUUCGGGAACCGGUCUCUCAUCUCAGGGAACCGGUUGCAUCAAAACUCACGCAGUGAGGACCUUAGGGGAACCGGUCUCUUGAACUCAGAGACCGGUCCCAGAACACAGAAAAGUUCAGUAAAGUAGUUUUAAAGCCAUCUAAGCCUUCUGAACUUAUUCUAAUUAGGUAUCUUCACCACAAAUGAUCUUUUCUCCAUACCUUAAGUGUCGAGCUUUCCGAAUGAGUCUUUAUUCUUCAAUUUGAAUCUUUUCUUCAAAACUUCUGCGAUCAACUCUUCAAGACUCCAACCAACUUUACGAAAUUCGCCAACCUAUAAAAUUCUUAACACACCGUGUCCAAUACACGAUGAACUGUUCACUGCGUUUAGACACGGUGAACCAUUCAUCGUGUCCUAUUCUAAUACCCCAGCCGUGUCCAAUGUAUACACACCCAAGUCUGGGUGUCUACACUACAUGGACACGGUGAAUAGUUCACUGUGUCCAAUCAGUUUAGACACGGCAAACCAUUCACCGUGUCCUAUACUAAAACCCCAUACAACUCUGGGGUAUUUGUAUUGGACACGGUGAAUGGUUCACCAUGUCCAGACACGGUGAACCAUUCACCAUGUUCUCUUUGAAUACAACCCCCGAGCUGUCUUCCUUUUCCUCCCCGAGCUGUCUUCCUCUUUCUCUCUCUCUCUCUCUCUCUCUCUCUCUGGCCGACGCUGCCCGCCGCGCGCCCUUCGCUGCCGCCGCCCUUUGUUGCCCGAGGUAGCUCCCCACUCCUUAUUAUCCCUCUAGCCCUAGAAGCCCCCACCCCCCACCUCUCUCUCUCUCCUCUCUCUCUUCUCUCUCUCUCUCUUUCUCUGUGCCACCCGGCCGCCGCCGCGCGACGCCGGCCCUCAUCACCCGUCCGAGAACACCCCCCACCCCGCUUGCUCUCUCUAACCGCUCUAGCUCUUCUCUCAUUUCACUGUGGCGCCCCCCCCCCCCACACAGUGGCUUCUCUCUGUGAGAAGCCUCUGUGAGACCCCUUCUCACAGUGGAUUCUCACUGUGAGAAGCCAAUGUGAGUCCCACAGAGGCUUCUCAUAGUGAGAAGCCUUUGUGAGGCCUCUCACAGGCAACCCCCCCCCUCACAGUGGCUUCUCUCUGUGAGACGCCUCUGUGAGUCUCACAGAGGCUUCUCACAGUGAGAAGCCUUUGUGAGGCCUCUCACUGUGCAAACCCCCCUCUCAGAGUCCUCUCACUGAUUGUUCUCGGUGUCUUUGUCACAAGUCAAUCCUUAGCUCUUAAUUGGCAAAGUAGUCGCGCCGACCGUGUUUGUACAAUGGUAAUAGCAUCUCUUACCUUCUCUUUUGUUGUAUGUUAGAAAUGUGGUAUGUCUUGAGUUUAAUAUUUUUGUACAUUUUAUUUUAUUACUUUAGAACUCUAUAUCUGGCGAUUUUGUUCCUUUCGAUAUCCAUUGGGAUGGAAAUUUUGUCGAGAACAAUAAUGUACCACGAUAUAUUGGUGGCGGUAAAGAAUUGGUUGCGGUCCGACGCAAUAUCUCAUUUCGGGAUUUAGAGAUGAAAAUAUACAAUGUUACUAAUUAUGAUCGAGUGGAAGACCGUCUACGCAUCACGGUGAAAUGUCCAAUGGGAGGCGAAUGGGAAUUAGUUAACAUAUCAAAUGACAAUACACUAUCUGGCGAUAUGAGUAUUUUUCCGUUCCAUGGAUGUAUAAAAUUAUUCGUGGAGAAAGAUGUGUUGACGACAAACCACCGUCCAAAUACCGUUUAUCAAAUGGAAAUGCGUCGUAGUCGCAAUGAUCAAAGGAAUUACGUCAAUCGUGAACAAGUUCGUACAUCAAGGUAUAAAGUAAUGAUCUUUAUAAAUCGUUUUCGUGAUUUCUCAAUUAGUUUAGGUGUGCGAAAUUAAUAACUUUGUCUUGUAAGUGUUACAGAGAGUUUGGAGUCCCAUCUCUGCCAGUUAGUGCAGCAUUGCCAUAUGCUAUGAUGGAUCCGUCUCCGUUGGUUGAUCAAAAUGAGUGGUAGGUGAUUGUAUGAUUUAGUUACAUGAAAAAUCAAUGUGAAUAGUUAAUCUUAUAUAUCUUUACAGAUCUACUGUCCCUCCUUAUUCAAGUGAAGAUCCAUCAUCUUAUGUUCAUGAAUGGAUGGAUUGGGAAGUCAGAACCACUAUCCUUCCUUAUCAAAAUGAAGGUCCAUCAUCUAGUGUUCAUGAAUGGCCGACUUGGGAAGUAAGAAGUACUAUCCCUCCUUAUCUAGAUGCAGGUCCAGGACCAUCUAGUGUUCAUGAAUGGCCGACUUGGGAAAUAAGAAAUACUAUCCCUUCUUAUCAAAAUGAAGGUCCAUCAUCUAGUGUUCAUGAAUGGCCGGCUUGGGAAGUAAGAAAUACUAUCCCUCCUUAUCUAGAUGCAGGUCCAGGACCAUCUAGUGUUCAUGAAUGACCGACUUGGGAAAUAAGAAAUACUAUCCCUUCUUAUCAAAAUGAAGGUCCAUCAUCUAGUGUUCAUGAAUGGCCGGCUUGGGAAGUAAGAAAUACUAUCCCUCCUUAUCUAGAUGCAGGUCCAGGACCAUCUAGUGUUCAUGAAUGACCGACUUGGGAAAUAAGAAAUACUAUCCCUUCUUAUCAAAAUGAAGGUCCAUCAUCUAGUGUUCAUGAAUGGCCGGCUUGGGAAGUAAGAAAUACUAUCCCUCCUUAUCAAAAUGAAGGUCCAUCAUCUACUCAUCGUGAAUGGACCAAUCGGGACGUGACUACAACUGAUAAUGAGGACGUAAUUCGAAGUGAUGAGGAGUAUGUUAGUGAAACUGAUGAAGAGGAUCAAGGGCGAAUUGAUGCUGAUUCUAGUGAUGACGAGGAGUCCUUUGUUGCGUGUUCUUUGGAUCCUGAUCAUGACGGUGGCUUGAAUGCCCUCGCAUGCGCCAUUCGAGAUGAAGGUGUUGAAUGGAUUGAAAACUCAAAUGCCAACAACGAAGAUGUACCGGACCCGGUGGAAUUCGUGGAAUUUGAAGAUCAACGACAACGGUUUGUCCUGGGUAAUGAAUUAAUUAAUCAAAGCGUUGUUGAUGCAUAUAGUGAACAAAAUAUUGAUCAGGGUCCUCCAAGUGAUGAAGCAUGGGCUAAUCGGACUUUUUCUGAUAAAUCAUCGCUAGUAAGGGCCUUGGACGCUUGGCACAUUGCACAUAAUGUGCAGCUUAAAGUUGUUAAGUCAAAUACAACUAGAUAUACUGUGCGAUGUGUGGUCGAUUCUUGCCCUUGGAGAUUACAUGCCUCUCAACCGAAAGGUAGUUCAUUUUUUAAAGUAAAGACUUAUAAAGGUCCGCACACUUGUUUGGUUCCAAUUCUAAAUACAAGACAUCGAAACUGCACAUCAUCUUUCAUAUGUCAAUUUAUACUACCUACACUGAAGGCAAGGCUUACAAUGAGUCCGAUGGAAAUUCAAGCUCGAGUUCAGAGCGAGUUACACGUUAGCAUAUCAUAUAGCAAGGCUUGGCGGGCACAGAAUAAAGCACUACAAAUUAUAUACGGUAGUUGGGAGCAAUCAUACUGCGACCUUCCUCGAUACUUCUCUAUGUUGGAAUCAACAAAUCCAGGAACUAUUACAAAGAUUGAGUAUAUUAGUGUGGCGAGCAAUACGAGAAUGUUUUCACGAGCCUUUUGGGCUUUUGGACCGUCGAUUCAUGGUUGGGAGUAUUGCCGGCCAUUACUUAGUAUCGAUGCUACUCAUCUGUAUGGGAAAUACGGAGGCCACGCAUUAAUUGCCACAGGUGUCGAUGCGAAUGGUGGUUUAUUUCCGCUAGCUUUCGCAAUUUGUGAGGGGGAGAAUGGCUCGAGUUGGGAGUGGUUUUUAAGUUGCCUAAGAAGGUAUAUAACAAGAUCUCGAGUUAUUACACUAAUUUCAGAUCGUUUUAAAGGCCUAGCGAACCUCGUUGCACUUGUAUUCCCACCAUCUGAAGGUCAUGCUCAUCGAUGGUGUUUGCGACAUAUGAAGGCCAAUAUGAAUAUUCAUUUCAAAGGAAAACACUUACUUAAAAUUUUUUAUCGAAUUGGGAGUGCUUCAGAAGAACGGCAAUAUUACGCAUUAAAGGAAGAAUUGAAGGCUAUGGAUGAAGAAGCUUGGCGUUGGGUUGACAAUCUUCAUAACGAUAGGACAUACUGGGCUAAAGCUUUUGAUGGUGGUCGACGAUUUGGUAUUAUGACAACUAACCGAUCGGAAAGUUUAAAUGGGGUGUUGAGGGGAGUUCGCGCCUUACCAAUUACAGCUUUUGUGAUGCAACGUUUCAUCGAGUGGUUGAAUUUUUCCUAAAACAUCAGGCGGAGGGCGCUGCAAUGUCUACGCAAUUUGUAUCGACUGUUGAAAACACCAUCAAUAGCCAGAUGAGAAGUGCUAGAGUAUAUACAGUUUGACGAUUCGGAUUUCACGAGUUCGACAUACUUACUGGCGGGGAUGAUGCAUACCAAGUGAUUAUCAAUGGAAGCAGUUCUACAUGUUCAUGUUUGUGUUUGCAACUCACAGGAAUCCCUUGUUCACACAUUUUGUCAUGUUGUAGUUCUUCACACAUGAACAUAGAUUAUUAUGGUUUAUGUUCUCCUUGGUAUACUGUCGUAUCCUAUACGACAUGUAAGGCUUAUGAAUCGCAAUUCCACCCGGUUCCUGAUCGUCGUUAUUGGAUCGCGUCAUAUGAAUCCCCUAUACUGCCACGCGGGAGAAGGAAAAAGGGACGACCCAGAUCUACGCGUAUCCGUAAUAUUAUGGACGAAGCCGCUGGGAAUAGGAGGGGCAAGUGUAGGAUCAAUACCACACUAGCUUUUCUAGGUUUCAUAACAAACAUGGCUUAAUAAUCAAAGUUCUCGCGUCAUAUGAAUCCCCUAUAUAGCUUUUCUAGGUUUCAUAACAAACAUGGCUUAAAAAUCAAAAAACCUAUGUCAAAUCCCUCUUAGGAUCAAUACCAUCAUCCUUAACAAAAGAACAGUGUAUAAAUACCUUGGAUUUUCUUGCUGUUGCAUUUCUUCUCACCUCCACUUCCAUCUUGCUCCAAACCCCUCUAAAUAUGUAGUACACUGGACCUUUACAAAUUGCGAGGUUCGAGUGACUGGAUGUGUUUCGAGCUUUUCCACACUUAGUGGAGGGUCGUAGAAUGUUUUUCGACCUAAAAAGUUCGAAAACCUGAAUUCUUGACGAGUCCUGAGAGUUUUCACUCUCGGGGACCGGUCCCUGAAAGGAGAGACCGGUCCCCCAGUGAGCAGUGUUGCGGCAGCCCUGAGGCAACCGGUCCCUGACGGGCGAGACCGGUCCCCGAGCGCGUCUACGAAGUGAAAGACCGGUCCCGCGCAGGAAGAGACCGGUUCCCGAACGUUGGUUUCUCGGGUUCGCAGCGAGAGACCGGUCCCUGCUGGGGAGAGACCGGUCCCUCUGGGCGAAAACUGCCCAUACCGGGCUGUUGCAAUAUUAGAUUUUUGAGGGACCUAGUUGGAUUUUGUUACAAUAGAGGGUCUAUAUGACCCAUCCACUCUCUCUUCUCCUCAUUUCUCUUCUCUCAACUCUCUCUACACCCUUGAUAGAGAAGAAGAAGAAGAAGGAGAAGGGGAAGAAGGAGGGAAGAAGAAGAAGUUUGAGAGCUACUAGUGGACUUGGAGCAUCUUCCUCACCCUAUCUUCUUCCUUGGUGCUUGGUGCUUGGACUUGGAGCUUGCAAGAGAGAAGAUCUUCACCCUUUGAGCUUGGAUUGAAGCUUCUUAGAGGUUGGUAGCCCUUUCUCUCCAUCUAGACUUUGGAUUUGAGGUUUUCUUGUGUUGGAACCCUAGAAUGAGAUUUUAGGGUUGAUUUUGGGGCUUUUUGAUCUAGGGCUUUUGGAGCUUGAUCACUUGGAUUAGAGCCUUCCUUUGGGUUGGAUUGGAAGGGAUUUAGCUCUCUUUUGGAGCUUAGGAAGAGAUUUUGCACUAGAGGUGAGUUUUGACCCUAUUUUUGAGAUGGUUAAUGUUUGAUCCUAUAGUUGAUCGUAAUGCCCGUGUAUCUCUUCGCUCAAUACUUUUAGGGUAUUUUGAGACUCGUGGACAACUCCGUUCGGCGAAUCGAAGGAGCACGCGACGGUUCGGUGGGUUUGACCUAGCCACACAAUGAGAAAAUCUCAUUGUUGAUGAUUUAAGUGUUAUAAAAUGAAAAAGCAUGCAUAUUCUUAUUAUAUGUAUUUAUUGUGAAUUUUAGAAUGCUUAAAAUGUCUAUGUUGCAUAUAGUAAAAUUUUGGGCCUCUAUGUAGUAGAGAGCAUGCAUGUGUGAUAUAGCAUUCUGGUUGAGAUUUGAAACUAAGAUCCCUAUUAUGAAAAUGAACCUUGCUUUCAUGCAUUUAGCUUAUUUGCCAAUUGUGACAUUAGGGAUUUUUGGAAGCCUAGAGAGGCUGGAGGACUUAGACUAUUUGAGAGAUUGGGCCAAUGUCAUAAAGAGGCAUUGGGCCCGGGCUAAAGUGAACCUUACAAGUAUUGUUUUAAUUGGAAUAUGGAACAUGAAUUGGGCAUGAUUAGUUGUGAUGCUUAGGUGUCAUAAAGAGGCACUAAGCAAGUGUGUGCGUCGGAGCGUCACUUUGAGACUUUAGACUAGAUCCUUGGGAUGCUAGUGACCUUGCCAUGUGAGAGGCAUGAGAGUAGAGUACUUGAGACUUUGACCUUGCUUGUUUGCCAUUUGUGCUCAUUCGCACAUGCUUGUGAGGGUCGCUCCCUACAAGCCGGCACUCCGGAGUUAGCCUACGCGACUUAUGUUCGCUCGUGCGGUAUUGAGAAGCCUACGGGGUCGAGUGGGACAGAUACAUUCCAAGAGUAGGGAUGUCGGGCUACCACAGGCACUUAGGCGGCACAAGCUGGAUUACCCUUGGUAGGUCCUUAAUUGGAAAUGGAAAUCGACACGGUGUUAAGAAUGAAUAAUCACUGCGAGAUAGGCUUAGUAGUUGGGUUACUUGACACGCUCAUGACAUAGCAUUGGGAUAUACAUAUAGUAUACUUACCUGUUUCAUUCAUUAUGUCAUAGUAUACUGGGUUGCAUGAUAGAGCUCAUUCUUUAUGCAUGACAUCUUGGACAGUAGCGUUUACUUGUAGCCAUCGGACGUACUUGUUUAUGAUAGCGUAGAUGUACAUCAUAUUUACAUCAUGCUUACUUGAGACAUAGUAAUAUAGCAUUUCAUAUAUGCUUUCUUUCAGCAGUUAUUGUACUCGCUCUUUAUUGCUUAUUAUUAUUGUCGUUACUUACCCUUUUCUUUUGGGGCCUAGUGGUGCAUUGAGCUGAGGUCAGUAAUUGCCCACUGGGAACUAUAAAUUAUAGUUUUCACGCUCUCUGUUUUGUAUUUUCUUUCAGAGCCUUCCACGCCGGGAGAGGCUAGGGACCGAGGGAAGGGCGUGGCUUCGAGCUAGCUCUUCAGCGAGUAAUGAGUCGCUAGGUGGUCUACCUCUCGAUGUUUUUAUUUUGUGAGAGGUUGAGAGUUGUACCCGUAUAUAUGUAUAGAGACCACCUUUCUUUUGGAUCUUGGUAUUUCUUUUAAGGAGUUAGUAUUGUAUCACCUUAUGCUUUACUUUCUUUGUUUAGUUAUAUUUCUUUUACUCUGGUUUAGAUGAUAGAACUUUUUACUCGCUCUGAUAUCAUUAGUUGUUAUUAUUUUAUUCGUUCUAUUUCUUGCUUUUACUUCCGCUUUAUUGUAGACGCCUUAUAUGUCACAUCUACACGUUGGACUGAAUGUAGAUAACGCCACUUCAUUGGAGUUGCAAGUGCGGGAGAGAUGGCUUUGUUAUGCAGAUGUCCUCCAGGGAAGUCAGAGAAUCCAUGAGGACAAUACGUUUCGCAAAUUGCUCAACGUAGGCCGCGCGCGACUGUUGGACAGCCAAGUACGGCAGAAAAGUGUAUGCUGGAUCAAACUGGUUCCAACAAUACCGCCGUGCGACCGCAGCACUUGGGGUUCAGUGGUCAGUGUGACUAGUUGAGACUAUUGUGUUGUUCUGCAACUAGUCUUCUGCGCUAGCUCGGAGGAUUAGACCCGACUUGGAAUCCGGCAGUUGAAGCCCCUACAUUGGGACCGUAUGAGGUUUGGAUGCGGUAAGUCCGGGUCGGUAGCGUAUGACUCGCUCGUACGCCAAACUAUCGCGGGUGUUACACAAUGUGUUUCAUGAUAUCCGUCCUGCGGAAGUAUAUCCACGACCCGGCUCAUAUUUUGGACGUACGCCUUUGGAGCUGGGGUGAUGCAGCUUUGGAGGAGCAACUUUGCGGAUUUUUGGCUCGGCGAAGCAGUAAAGAGAUAUUGCGGACACCGCUGACCAUUACACCCUACAGCGUGAAGCGUGUUGUAGGAGCAACCACGAUAGCGUUCGCCUGACUAUCGUGGCGACACAUGGUGAUAGCGCAUUGAGGGACCGCCCUAGAUCACCCUCUUUUUUUCAAUGGAGGCUAGUGGGGUACUUGUCAUCUUGUCGAGUUCGUCUGUGGACGAAACUCCCUUUUCAGGAUGGGUCCAGUGAAUGUAGUACAUUGGACCUUGCAAUUGCGAUGUGUUUCGAAGUGACUGGAUGUUGGUUUCGAGCCUUUUCCAUACGUUAAUGUGGUGAAGCGGUUCAUAGCUAUUUUUGACCAAAAGUUCGAAACCUGAAUCUUGACGAGUCCUGAGAGUUUUCACUCUCGUGGACCAGUCCCUGAAGGGAAAGACCGGUCCCCCAGUGAGCAGUGUUGCGGGCAGCCUCGGAGGCUACCCGGUCCCUGGUGGGCGAGACGGUCCCGAGCGCGUCUACGAAGUGAGAGAUCUGUCCGCGCGAGGGUGAGAGAGAUCGGUUCAUACCGAACGUUGGUUCUCGCGGCGUACGUUCGCCCAGUGAGAGACCACGUCCCUGACUGGGGGAUGAGACCGGUUCGGCCUUCUGCGUGCGAAAAAUGCCAGACCUGGGCUAGUUGCAACAUGUGGAUUUUGUGAGCGAUCCCUAAGUUGAUUGUUACAAUAGAGGGGUCUAUAUGAGCAUCACUCUUCUCUUCAUCCCAUUUCUCUCUCUCUAACUCUUCUACACCCUUGAUAGAGAAGAAGAAGAAGGAAGGAAGGGAAAAAGAAGAUAUAGACCCUGGAAGAGGAAUAAAAGUGUGAGGCUAUAGAUUGGUACUUGGGCCAUGCUUCUUCCAAACUAUCUUUUCUUGGUGCUAUUGGUGUCUUGACCUUGAUGUGCAAAGUAGCAAGAUCUUCACCCUUGAGCUUUGGAUUGUAAGUUUUUAGAGAGGUUGGAUCUAAGGCUUUCUCCUCUAGACUCUUGCUUGAGGGCUUUUCUUGUUUUGGCCCUAGAAUGAGAUUUAGCUGUUGAUUUGGGGCUUUUUGAUUGGUAGGCUUUGGUGAGCUUGCAUUCACUUGGAUUAGAGCCUUUCUUUUGGGUUAGGAUUGGAGAGAGAAUUUAGCUCUCUUUUGGAGUUUUAGAAGAGAUUUUGCACUUAGAGGUGAUUUUUCACCUCGGUGUUUUUGAGGAUGAUGGUUAAAUUUGAUCGUAUAGUGAUCGUAAUUAAUGCCGUGUAUCUGCGCUCAAUACUUUUAGGGUAUUUUGAGACUCCGGUGGACAACUGCCGUCGGCGAAUCGAAGCGAGCAACGCGACGCGUUUGAUGGGUUUGACCUAGCAAACACAAUGAGAAAUCUCAUGUUUGAUGAUUUAUAUAUUAUAAAGAUGAAUAAGCUGCAUAUUCUAGUUCAUAAUAUGAUAUUUAGUUGUGAAUUUUUAGAAUGCUUAAAAUGUCUAUGUUGCAUUAAGUAAAAUUUUGGGUCCUAUGUAGUAGAGAGCAUGCAUGUGUGAAUAUUGCAUCUAGGCGUGAUGCAUUUAGACAACUGCAUAGAUCCCCUAUUGAUGAAAUGAACCUUGGCUUUCAUAUGCAUUUAGUCUUAUUGCUCAAUUGUGAUCAUUGGGUUUUUGAACCCUUAUGAGAGGCUGGGAGAUACUUCAGGGAUUAUUUGUAUUGAUGAUUUGGGUCAAUGCUCGAUAAACGGCGAAAGGCGCAUGGUAGCCCCGCCGGCUAACGGAGGCUGAACCUUACGUAGUAUUGUUUUAAUGGAAUAUGGAACAUGAAUUGGGCAUGAUGUGUGUUGAUGCGUACGACGGUGGGUGUCAAAAGAGGCACGUAAGCAAGUGUGAUGCGUUGGAGGUCCUGGACUUUAGAUAGAUCCUGUGGGAUGCUAGGAGCCUUGCCAUGUGAGAGGCAUUGAGAGGUAGAGUACAUUGAGACUUUGGACCUUGCUUGUUUGCCAUUUGUGCUCAUUCGCAGAUGCUUGUGAGGCGCGCUCCCUACAAGCGCACUCCGAUGGUUCGCCUACGCGACUGUAUGUUGCUCGUCGUGCGGGUAUUGAAGAAGCCUACGGGGUUGAGUGGGAACGCACAUUCAAGACGUAGGAUGUCGGGUACCCGGCACUUUAGGCGGCACACGCGGUGGCUCCCUUUGGUAGGUCCUUAAUUGGAAAAUUGGAAAUCGACACAGUGUUAAGAAUUAAUAGUAUAUUCCAAGAUUGACUUACAGUCGGGAUAUCACAAGUUGAAGAUCAGACCUGAGGAUGUGUCGAAGACGGCUUUUAGAACAUGGUAUGGACAUUAUGAGUUUACUGUUAUGCCGUUUGGCCUUACUAAUGCCCCGGCAGUUUUUAUGGAUUUAAUGAACCGUGUUUUCAAGCCUUACUUAGACAGGUUUGUCGUGGUGUUCAUCGACGACAUUUUGGUCUAUUCCCGAAGUGAUGCAGAUCAUGAGGAACACUUGAGACUUGUACUUCAAGUGCUUCGGAAAAAGAAGCUCUAUGCCAAGUUGAAAAAGUGUGAAUUUUGGCUUAGAGAGGUGGCGUUUUUGGGCCAUUUGGUUUCAGGAUCAGGCAUAGCCGUGGACCCGAGGAAAAUAGAAGCUAUCAAGGAUUGGCCAAGGCCGACGAGCGUGACCGAGAUAAGGAGCUUCAUUGGUUUGGCCGGCUACUACCGACGGUUUGUUGAGGGGUUUGCAAAGUUAUCUACUCCCCUCACGAGACUCACGCAUAAAGGCACUAAGUUCAUUUGGAAUGAUGCGUGUGAAAGGAGCUUCCAAGAGUUGAAGCAGAGAUUGACGACCGCCCCGAUCCUUACCUUGCCGACUGCUGGAGCGGGGUAUGUGAUUUAUAGUGAUACUUCCUUUAAUGGAUUGGGCUGUGUUUUAAUGCAGGACGGGAAAGUGAUCGCGUAUGCAUCUCGCCAAUUGAAGGAAUAUGAAAGAA
rnacentral:lncRNA from 1 species